GAUGUAACGGGGCUAAACCAUGCACCGAAGCUGCGGCAGCGACGCUUAUGCGUUGUUGGGUAGGGGAGCGUUCUGUAAGCCUGUGAAGGUGUGCUGUGAGGCAUGCUGGAGGUAUCAGAAGUGCGAAUGCUGACAUAAGUAACGAUAAAGCGGGUGAAAAGCCCGCUCGCCGGAAGACCAAGGGUUCCUGUCCAACGUUAAUCGGGGCAGGGUGAGUCGACCCCUAAGGCGAGGCCGAAAGGCGUAGUCGAUGGGAAACAGGUUAAUAUUCCUGUACUUGGUGUUACUGCGAAGGGGGGACGGAGAAGGCUAUGUUGGCCGGGCGACGGUUGUCCCGGUUUAAGCGUGUAGGCUGGUUUUCCAGGCAAAUCCGGAAAAUCAAGGCUGAGGCGUGAUGACGAGGCACUACGGUGCUGAAGCAACAAAUGCCCUGCUUCCAGGAAAAGCCUCUAAGCAUCAGGUAACAUCAAAUCGUACCCCAAACCGACACAGGUGGUCAGGUAGAGAAUACCAAGGCGCUUGAGAGAACUCGGGUGAAGGAACUAGGCAAAAUGGUGCCGUAACUUCGGGAGAAGGCACGCUGAUAUGUAGGUGAGGUCCCUCGCGGAUGGAGCUGAAAUCAGUCGAAGAUACCAGCUGGCUGCAACUGUUUAUUAAAAACACAG
rnacentral:rRNA from 1 species